rnacentral:rRNA from 1 species
AUUGAACGCUGGCGGCAGGCCUAACACAUGCAAGUCGAGCGAGCGGCGGACGGGUGAGUAAUGUAUGGGGACUGCCCGAUAGAGGGGGAUAACUACUGGAAACGGUGGCUAAUACCGCAUACUAUCGGAUAACCCAUAUGGGAUUAGCUAGUAGGUGGGGUAACGGCUCACCUAGGAGAUGAUCUCUAGCUGGUCUGAGAGGAUGAUCAGCCACACUGGGACUGUGACACGGCCCAGACUCCUACGGAGGCAGCAGGGGAGAAUAUUUCACAAUGGGCGCAAGCCGGAUGCAGCCAUGCCGCGUGUAUGAAGAAGGCCUUAGGGUUGUAAAGUACUUUCAGCGGGGAGGCUUUACCCGCAGAAGAAGCACCGGCUAACUCCGUGCCAGCAGCCUCUGUAAUAC